rnacentral:rRNA from 1 species
AACGAACGCUGGCGGCAUGCCUAACACAUGCAAGUCGAACGAGACCGUCGGGGCUCGUGGCGCACGGGUGGGUGACGCGGGGGAAGAUGCCUUUAGGUUCGGAAUAACGCAGGGGGAUGUGAGCUAAUACCGGGUGAUAUCUUCCGACCAAAGAGUUAGGGGCUUUAGGGGGGCCGAAGUUGGACUAGCUAGUUGGUGGGGUAAAGGCCUAUCAAGGCGACGGUCCGUAGCUGGUCUGAGAGGAUGACCAGCCACACUGGGACUGAGACACGGCCCAGACUCCUACGGGAGGCAGCAGUGGGGAAUUUUGGACAAUGGGGGCAACCCUGAUCCAGCCAUGCCGCGUGCGGGAAGAAGGCCUUCGGGUUGUAAACCGCUUUUGUUCGGGAAGAAAUCCUCUGGGCUAAUACCCCGGGGGGAUGACGGUACCGGAAGAAUAAGCACCGGCUAACUACGUG